GGGUACUUGGUCGAGUCAGGUUUAUGGCGUUCGUCUUGAAUUCUAAAAAAAGUCGUGAGUUCGAAUCUCACAGUGCCCG
rnacentral:tRNA from 1 species